rnacentral:tRNA from 1 species
GGGGUUGUGGCUCAGUGGUAGAGCACUUGCCUAGAAUAGGCAAGGCACUGGGUUUGAUCCUCAGCACCA